rnacentral:rRNA from 1 species
CGAAUAUGGUGUACUUCCAUCUAAUGCUAAUAUAACCAUGAGACCGAUAGCGAACAAGUACCGUGAGGGAAAGUUGAAAAGAACUCUGAAUAGAGAGUUAAAUAGUACGUGAAACCGUAUAGAGGUUAAGCCCGUUGAAUCUAAAUAUCUGACUAGUGGAAUUCAAUAUACUAUACUCAUCUAUAUGGUGGGUAUAUUGUAUGCACUUUCCAUUUAGUAAGACAUUGCAAUCCGUUAGAUUAGAUUAUGGUCUUUUGAUUAUGAUCUAUACUUAUCUAUGGGGCCGUUUAGUGCGUUUAUUAUAAUUAAUCCUCUACUUGUAGGGUAUUAUUUGAUAACACUUUGUGGUACUCGAUAAUGUAUAACUGACGGAUUUUAAACUAGGUCAUAUGUACAUGCAAAUGUGAUUGAUUUAUCAAUUUAUAUGCACCUAAUUGGCAAUGCAUUAUAGAUUUAGAUACCUUCGGGACCCGUCUUAAAAACCGGGACCAAA